AAGUUCUCUCUUUAUCUAUAAUAUGGCUACAGAAUGACCAGUGGCAGUGUAAACUUUCCUCCAUGCUACCCUACCAAUGUGUCGCAUCCCUAACUUGAAGGGACCACCUCUAGGAAUCAGAGAAGUU
ensembl:misc_RNA